rnacentral:tRNA from 1 species
CGGGGCGUGGCGCAGCCUGGUAGCGCGCUUGGUUCGGGACCAAGAGGUCGCAGGUUCGAAUCCUGUCGCCCCGACUA